AAACUACGAAGUUCAGGAUGUCUUUGAGAACGACAUAGCUGUGAUUACCUUGGCUCAGCCCUGCGUCCUCAAUAAUGCUGUACAAACCAUUCCUCUGCCGCCCAGGCAACUGCGAUUGAGAAAGCUGAAGAAUUGCCGGUUCUACGGUUGGGGUGUCACAGGGGAGCCCGUCACAGACGAGGUGUUCAGCCAAUUCCUGAGAAGCGCGGAGCUCAGCAUCGUAAAAGCCAGGGUAUGCCAGCGAAGUUUCUUCGGGUUUCUGUCUGAUGAUCAUAUCUGUGCUGAAGGAACUUCCUACCCUUGCUUUGGUGACAGCGGUUCUCCACUGAUAUGUGACUUCAGGAAGAAGACUUACAUCGUCGGGCUGAAUUCUUUCCGCCGUAGUGGUCCUUGUGACUUGGAGGGAAGACCCCAAGUCUACACCCGAAUCUCCACAUUCCUGGAUUUCAUUGAGAGUAACACCAGUGACUAAAAUGUGAUCAAAAAUCCAGGACUGUGUGUGUGUGUGCACUGUAUAAGCCUAUUCGUUUUAAUUAGAUUCGACAUUAGAGGCUCCAUUAUACAGAAUAAACAUAAAUCAGCUGCUUAAAAUCAGCUACAGUAUUUGAAUUAAACUUACAGUAUAUCCUUUGGUUUUGUGAUCAGCGCAGGUCAUUUGCACAUCUUAAGUUCUCGUGGUACACUGCUU